rnacentral:rRNA from 1 species
GCUGAUUAACUAGCUCGAGCAACUGGUUUAAUACCACGACAUGAAUAAACCCCUAUGAAUUAGUACCCCCACACCAAACCAUUUUUCCACCCUAGUACGGGCG